rnacentral:rRNA from 1 species
UACGUAGGGUGCGAGCGUUAAUCGGAAUUACUGGGCGUAAAGCGUGCGCAGGCGGUUUUGUAAGCCAGAUGUGAAAUCCCCGGGCUUAACCUGGGAAUGGCAUUUGGGACUGCAAGGCUGGAGUGCGGCAGAGGAGACUGGAAUUCCUGGUGUAGCAGUAAAAUGCGUAGAUAUCAGGAGGAAUACCGAUGGCGAAGGCAGGUCUCUGGGCUGACACUGACGCUCAUGCACGAAAGCGUGGGGAGCAAACAGG